rnacentral:misc_RNA from 1 species
GAUGAAGAACGUAGCGAAAUGCGAUAAGUAAUGUGAAUUGCAGAAUUCAGUGAAUCAUCGAAUCUUUGAACGCACAUUGCGCCCUCUGGUGUUCCGGGGGGCAUGCCUGUUCGAGCGUCAUUAUAACCACUCAAGCUCUCGCUUGGUAUUGGGGUUCGCGGUUCCGCGGCCCCUAAAAUCAGUGGCGGUGCCUGUCGGCUCUACGCGUAGUAAUACUCCUCGCGAUUGAGUCCGGUAGGUCUACUUGCCAGCAACCCCCAAUUUUUACAGGUUGACCUCGGAUCAGGUAGGGAUACCCGCUGAACUUAAGCAUAUCAAUAAGCGGAGGA